GGAGCGGUAGCUCAGAUGGUUAGAGUGCCGGCCUGUCACGCCGGAGGUCGCGGGUUCGAGCCCCGUCCGCUCCGCCA
rnacentral:tRNA from 1 species